CUGAGCAGUUUAUUGGUUUUCCAUAAAGGAAACACUUGAAUAUUUUGGUAUUAUUCCCUUUAUUUAAUUUAUUUCACCGGAAGGCAGUGUAAUUUUAAUACCUUGUGAAGGAUAGGCUACGGUGGGAGGAGGAAUAAUGCUACAUAAACAGAAACAAAACCAGAAACAAAAAAAGCCAUUUAACUCCUAAACAGCAGAGAAUUGAACAGUGAGGCUGCAAGGGCAUGAUCUAUACACCUAAACUGAUUCAUUAAGCUAAAGUUGUUUUGGUGCUUAGAGC